CAACAGUGUGUCUGCCACUUGGAUGUACAGUCCAUUGUAUUACUCCAGUGAGGGUUUCGCUUUCAGGCUCUCUUAAAAGUGUAUGAGAAUUACCUUUCAGUAUAUGUUGGUCUGGUAUCUGGUGCAUAUGAUGACCAGUUGCAGUGGCCUUGUCUAUGGAGAAAAAUAACCUUCCAGAUACUUGACCAGAAUCCACACAUACAGAAGCACAUGUCCUCUGAGAAAAGCUUCACGACUGACCCUACUUUGGUUUCUUCCUAUGGCAGAAAUGACUGGGACAAUCCUCGAAAUAAUGGAACUCGAGUUGUCAUUGGCAAUGAGACCGUAUAUGUGGGUAUUUUUUGGGGCUAUCAACAUGCCAUAAUGAACGAAGAUCUCACUAAAAGAGAGUUUAUCAAGGGUGAUGACAUCAUAUUUCUCUUCAGCAUGCAAGAUAUUUCAGGGCUAUUUCAAUCUGAGUUUUUACCCUGCCCAAAAGUGACAAUAAUGGAUUUCAACGUUUCUUCUCAUUCAACUGCCCAGCAGGGAUCAUGUGCUACAAGAGCUCUUCCCACACCUCAAACAAUCUCAACCACCUCUACAUCACAACCCACUGAGGGUGAAUGCCUAGACAUAUUUUGCAGUUCCAGUGCCAAGACUGUUUCCUCUCUGAUCCUCGUGGUGGUGUGUUUCUUUUUCUGGUGAAUCAAACAUGAGAAAUCACUAUUAACCAUCACCCAGUGUCUGACUACACAAGAAUUCAAUGUCAAAGCAAUACAUCGGUCUUCAGCUUUCUGGUUUAUAAUACAAUUAGCUUGAUACCAU
ensembl:lncRNA